AAUGAAACCUCUUUUCCAUCCAGAAGCACUGCUGACUGUUUGGUGGUUGCCGUUAGGGCAGUGAGCCUUUUGUCCAUUCUGAGAUUGGGCUGGUUUCUCCUCUUGGCCCUGCCCUACAGACCAUAAAGGAAAACAGCAAGAGGUCCCCAGCAAACAUCUACAGAUGGCCCUGGACAUCAGCCACAUUCGGAGAAACAUGUCAUGUUCUGGGAGGGCUAAGGCAUCGACCAUUUUGCACACCCUGGUCAGAAUGAAACAUUCCUUGGGAACUUGGGCCAUGAGAAGCAUCCUUCCUGAUCACCUGACUGUAGAAACAUCCUUAUCGCACCCUCCCGGGCAAAGGCCCAACAGCCUGACUGCAGGAACA
rnacentral:lncRNA from 1 species